CUAGUGGGAUUCGUUUCCUUUGCGUCACAACGGGAACUCCAGCCCCAGAAACGUAAACAUUGUUCACUUGUUCAGCUGUGAGUACAGUCCCUUAUGCAGCUUGAACAAGCAGCGCUUUUCCUCCUGUAAUCACUGUUCCUAGUCAUGAUGUUUAAUUUUUAAUUUCUAGUAAUAUUACAGAAGGACACCGUGUCUUCACGCUCACGGUAUAGUCUGGCCACCCAAGAUGGCUCUUCUCUUGCUCUCUUUCCAUCCCCUGCUCCACCGGUGCCUGCUUCACCUAGUCUGUCGAGCAGAACAUCUCCACCUGGUAGCUUGUCAAAGGGCGGUGGGGGGCGUGCCCCUUGCUGGUUUCCCUGGUAACUGAGGAGCCCACCUGAAGCCAAUAGCGCUUUCAUUGGGCACCUCCCCCUGCCCCGGGAGCAAAGCCUGCCGCCCUCUUGCCGGCGGUCCUAACCCGGGUUCGUGUGCCCUCUGCCACCCCACACGUCGGGGCGUCGCUGCAGGACCGGGCUUCAGACGGGUAGCAUGAAUCUCAUCAGCACAGAGAGAAAGCUUCACUGAAAACUCAUUGCAGGUGUCUUGCUUUUCUGAGAAGCAGCAGCAACAGUGGUUAGAAGCCCCGACCCUGGAGCUGGACUGUCUGAGUACAAAGCCUGGUUCUACUGCUCACUUGCUGUGGGACCAGGGGCUGGCUCUCAGGUCAGUUUUCUCAUCCACGAGACAGGAAAAUAAGAGUAUCGACCUCCCCGAGUCCUUGCGAGGAUUAAAUGAGUAAAUAUACCUAAUAGGUAGGCUUAGACGAAUCCCGGCGCUUAGUAAGCGCUCUGUGUUAGUGUCGGCUCCCACUGCCGCUCCCGUUCCUAUCAUUAUGGUCCUUACCUUGCAGCUGUGAAAUGGCUGUGACAUUGUCUUUGUAAAUUGUACCUUUCUAUCUUUUAUAUCCCAAUCCCACUUGCUACUUUGGGAAAGACUGCAUUAUUUUCUUAAAGUGAGUUUAUUUUCCUGUGAACUACUUGGAAGAAAAUUGCUCGUGUAUAAUUUCCUCCUCUGGACUGGUCAAAAUUGGCCUCUUUCUCACAUCCAUGGUCUGUGCAGACAGGGCCAGUGUCAAGGGCGUGUGAGCUGCGCAGCCACACAGGGCCCUGCACUCAGAAGGACUCCAUGCCUGGUUGAAUGCUGUCACCGUCUUGAAAUCCUUAGUCUUGCCGUAAGGGGCCACGCACGUUCAUGCUGCAGUGGGCCGCACAAAUCAUGUUGGCAGUCCUGUGUGGAGAAUAAUCUAGUAACCAGAGUCUCCUUUUCAGGUUCUCCUGAGGACAGGGAAACUCUUCGAAUCCUAGACCACGGCAGCUUUGGAUUCAGUCAGCCCUCUAUCGCAGCACUUUCCAUAUAGCAGCAGUGCCUUUUUAAGUUACAUAACUUAUCCCUGGAUAUGUCUUUUGCACCUACUAGAGUAUGAACUCCUGAGGUCAGGGGCCAUCUCUGAUUGUCCUUUCCGUCUUCCAGGAGGCCUCCUCAUUGUUAAGAGAUCAACAAAUGAUUUGUGCACGUGAAUGAUACCAGCUCUGUGUGUUUUAUCAGUGAUGGGAAACCCACAUAAGGACUUGGCAUUGGCACCGCUGAGCCUUGGGUUUGAUCCCUGGCCUGGGAACUUCUGUGUGCCAUGGUCGCAGCCAAAAAAAAAAAAAAAAAAAAAAAAAAGUGUGGCGCGGCCCAUUAGCUGGGAAGGACUCUUCUGUGGAAUGGAACCCACAGAGCCACGGAGUUAACUGUGGUGACCAAAACUGAACAGUCUGGACUUGCCAUACUCAGCCAUUUCCAGGUGUCACCUUAACCGCUAGGCCAACAGGGAACUCCCAUUGUAUUUUAAAUUUGAAUUUAAUUUUUUGAAUUGAAGUAGAGUUGAUUUACAAUAUUGUGUUAGUUUCAGGUGUACAGUCCACUACUUUGAAAGUAGCUCCGGUGUGGAAGGAUUGUGUUCUUUGCUUUUACUACCUACACACAGGGACCCAGUCCCCUGCAGAUGGUCCGUCAGUGCAGAGUAUUUAAGUGUAUGAUACUCGUGUGGGCUAUGGUCUUAUUCCUGCCGUGAAUUAGUAAGAAUUAGUAACCGCCUUAGUGUUUUAGAGCAUCCACUUUCCUGGGUAUGUUGUCAAAGGAAGUAAAAAAAAUCAAUCUGAUAAUUUCUGAUUAGAUUUUUAUGGCAGAUACAAUAAUCAGUUUAUACAGGUUUUUCCCCUAAAUUAUCUAAGAACUGAAACUACAAGAGAACUGCUGCUUUGAGGCGUCUCUGCAUAGUCCAGCGUGCCACUCCUUAGUGGGUGUAGAUGGGUAAGGUUAGGAGAAGCUGCAUGCUGCUCAUCCUUGUGUGAAUUGAAUUAUUCUUUAAAGGCUCUAUUUAUUUAUUUGUUUAUGUUUCUAAACUUGAGGGUUUGGUUUUUUUCUUUCUUUUUUUUUUCCUAGGGCCACACCCUCGGCAUAUGGAG